rnacentral:miRNA from 1 species
GUGCGUGCAUGUGCGUGUGUACGUAUGUAUGUACACACACACACACACACACACACACACACACACACACACACACA